rnacentral:lncRNA from 1 species
AGGAUAAAGCAUAUUCAUAAUAUCAUCAUCUAUUCUAUCACCGACUGCUACAUCAUGUAGAAAAUCAACAUCGCUAAAUUGAAAACACGGGUGAUUAUUAUCAAGUAUUCCGAAGUUUUCAUUAGUAUUUCUAGGUUGGCUACUAGUUUAUACUUGUUUAUCUUUUCUAGGUCGGGGAGCCGGGGGAGGGGUGGUAUUUUGGCGACUACUUUCACCGGAUUUAGCUUUUCCUUUACCGAACAUUUUCUUCAACGAAAACGCCAUAAUAAUUAUAAUUAAGCAAACUAACAACACACAAAAAUAUUCUUAGCACGUAAGAGUUGAAACGAGUUUACCGGAUUGACGAACAAUUUCAUCGCUAAAUUGAAAACACGGGUGAUUAUUAUCAAGUAUUCCGAAGUUUUCAUUAGUAUUUCUAGGUUGGCUACUAGUUUAUACUUGUUUAUCUUUUCUAGGUCGGGGAGCCGGGGGAGGGGUGGUAUUUUGGCGACUACUUUCACCGGUUUUAUUUUUUCCUUUUCCGAACAUAUUUUUCAAUGAAAAAUGCCAUAUUGAUUAUAAUUAAGCAAAAUAACAACACACAAAAAU